GGAGAGGUGGCAGAGUGGUCUAUCGCGAUGGUCUUGAAAACCAUUGGGCCGAAAGGUCCCGGGGGUUCGAAUCCCUCCCUCUCCGCCA
rnacentral:tRNA from 2 species